UUUGUUCAGCUGGUUAGAAUGCCUGCUUUGCAAGCAGGAGGUCAUCGGUUCGAAUCCGAUA
rnacentral:tRNA from 1 species